rnacentral:rRNA from 1 species
GACGAACCGUGCGAACGUUGUUCGGAUUCACUGGGCUUAAAGGGCGCGUAGGCGGCUUGCCAAGUCAGGGGUGAAAUCUUUCGGCUCAACCGGAAAACAGCCCCUGAUACUGGCGGGCUGGAGGGAGGUAGGGGCGGAUGGAACUUCCGGUGGAGCGGUGAAAUGCGUAGAUAUCGUAAGGAAGACCAGUGGCGAAGGCGAAUCUCUGGACAGUUACUGACACUGAGGCACGAAGGCCAGGGGAGCAAACGGG